AUUCCAGCUCCAAUAGCGUAUAUUAAUGUUGUUGCAGUUAAAAAGCUCGUAGUUGGAUUUCUGGUCGGAACGCCGGUCCGGCUCCGCAAGGGGUCGUGUAUUGGUUUCUCCUGCCAUCCUCAGGGAGAGCUGCGCUGGUAUUCAUUUAUCGGCGUGGUUACGCCUGUCGUUUACUGUGAACAAAUUAGAGUGUUCAAAGCAAGGUGUACUUGAAUACAUUAGCAUGGAAUAAUAAGAUAGGACUUUGGUGGUUCUUUUUGAUAUUUUGUUGGUUUGCACGCCAAAGUAAUGAUUAAUAGGAGCAGUUGGGGGUAUUCGUAUUCAAUUGUCAGAGGUGAAAUUCUUGGAUUUAUAGAAGACGAACUACUGCGAAAGCAUUUACCAAGGAUGUUUUCAUUA
rnacentral:rRNA from 1 species